UACGUAGGGUGCAAGCGUUGUCCGGAAUUAUUGGGCGUAAAGAGCUCGUAGGCGGUUUGUCGCGUCUGCUGUGAAAACUCGGGGCUUAACUCCGGGCCUGCAGUGGGUACGGGCAGACUAGAGUGCGGUAGGGGAGACUGGAAUUCCUGGUGUAGCGGUGAAAUGCGCAGAUAUCAGGAGGAACACCGGUGGCGAAGGCGGGUCUCUGGGCCGUAACUGACGCUGAGGAACGAAAGCGUGGGGAGCGAACAGG
rnacentral:rRNA from 1 species